rnacentral:rRNA from 1 species
GACCUGCAUCCAGUUCACCCCUGGAUGUGAGAUCCGUCAGUCCUCUCGAGGCAGUCAUGUGCGUAUAUUUGGACAAUGGGGCCAAGCUGAUCCAGGCAUGCAGGGAGUGUGAAGGAUGUCCUUCGGAUUGUAAACUCCUUCUAAGCUGGCAGGAAGGGCAGUAAGCUUACUACCCUGCUUGCAUUGAGCGUUACUGGUCAGAAGAAGGCCACCGGCUCAUUCUCGUGACAAGCUGGUCGGCGGUAUUAACGGAGGGGUCAAGUGUUUAUUCGGAAUUUACUGGGACGUAACAGCCUGCCGCCGGCUGGUUCGUGCAAGCUCGAUAUGAAAUACCCUCCGGAGCUCUCACCCUGGGAAGUUGCUUCCCACACCGGCGGAGAUAGAGUUCGGGUAGAGCGGGGGCUGAAUUUUCCUGUGGAGCCGUGAAAUGCGUUGAUAUAUGGAAAGAACACCAGUGGCGAAGGCGACCUCCUGGAAUGAUAUCGACACUUAGGUGCGAAAGGGUGGGGAGCAAACAGGAUUAGAUCCCCUGGUAGUUCACGCCGUAAACGAUGUCAACUAGCCGUUGGAAUCCCUGAGAUUUUAGUGCCGCAGUUAACGCAUUAAGUUGACCGCCUGGGGAGUACGGCCGCAAGGUUAAAACUCAAAUGAAUUGACGGGGGCCCGCACCAGCGGUGGAGCAUGUGGUUUAAUUCGAAGCAACGGGAAGAACCUUACCAGGCCUUGACAUGCAGAGAACUUUCCAGAGAUGGAUUGGGUCCUUUGGGAACUUUGACACAGGUGCCGCCAGGCUGUUGUCAGCUUGUGUUUUGAGAUGUUGGGUUAAGUCCCGUAACGAGCGCAACCCUUGUCCUUAGUUACCAGCACGUUAUGGUGGGCACUCUAAGGAGACUGCCGGUGACAAACCGGAGGAAGGUGGGGAUGACGUCAAGUCAUCAUGGCCCUUACGGCCUGGGCUACACACGUGCUACAAUGGUCGGUACAGAGGGUUGCCAAGCCGCGAGGUGGAGCUAAUCUCACAAAACCGAUCGUAGUCCGGAUCGCAGUCUGCAACUCGACUGCGUGAAGUCGGAAUCGCUAGUAAUCGUGAAUCAGAAUGUCGCGGUGAAUACGUUCCCGGGCCUUGUACACACCGCCCGUCACACCAUGGGAGUGGGUGCACCAAGAAGUAGGGUAGUCUAACCUCCGGGAGGACGGUU